UAAUGAUAGAGGUGCGGGUUUCAUCAGUAUUUCCGGCUGUGGAUAUGAGAAGAUAUCCAGUCUGUGGCAGACUGGCCGGGGAGAAAGGGAAGACCGCCGAAGGACUUUCUUUUGCCAUAGGAGGAGGUUCUGGGCUGACGCAGAAUAUGCGGCAGACUGUCACUUGUCGUGGAGCGCUAUCA
rnacentral:ncRNA from 1 species